rnacentral:rRNA from 1 species
UACGUAGGGGGCGAGCGUUGUCCGGAUUUAUUGGGCGUAAAGAGCUCGUAGGCGGUUCGGUAAGUCAGAUGUAAAAACUCCAGGCUCAACUUGGAGAGGCCAUCUGAUACUGCCGUGACUAGAGUCCGGUAGAGGAGCACGGAAUUCCUGGUGUAGCGGUGAAAUGCGCAGAUAUCAGGAGGAACACCGGUGGCGAAGGCGGCAUCCUGGACCAUAACUGACGCUGAGGCGCGAAAGCUAGGGGAGCAAACGGG